GCACUGGUAGUUCAGCGGUAGAAUUCUCCCCUUUCAUGUGGGAGACCCAGGUUCGAUUCCCAGCCAGUGCG
rnacentral:tRNA from 1 species